CGGGCAGUGGGUGUGCCUUGGUGGUGGAAAGGACACACCCACAUCAAGCCACACCCCCAAGCCAACUCAAGUUUGGCUUGGCUUCUGUCAUGGUCGCCAGCAUUUCUUGAGGAACAAGCAAAAAAGAGCCCAAAUCAGUGGGUGCAGUUCCCAUUUAAGUUCUGAGAACAUGGUAACCACGUUCUGGGCCCACCCCUCUCCCUUGUCUCAUCGACGGCCAACCGGCAUACAUGGUGAGGCGUCUCCUGAAAGUUCGACCUCGGAGCAGGGUGUUCCAGUACCUGGUUGACUGGUAGGGUUAUGACCGGCGGAGAGGUGCUGGGUCCCAGGCCUCAUUUCAGAUUUCCAACACCGACACCCCAGUCAACGAGAUGCAAAGCUUCGUUGCAACGAAACUAAUAAGGUUUUCCAAGUCAUGUGGGUCCUGUCAUCUAUAAAGUUUGCAGGGCUCAGUUUCACAUGGCCCAACACACUUACUGUCACGGCUGGCUGAAGGACUGGACCAAGGUGCAGCAUGGUAAAGGAAAUGGAACGGACGGCAGACGGCAGAGAGUCCCUUGAGCUGAUGAAAGUGACACCAACGCUUCCCCAGGGCUCCAGGGAUGCUGUCCCUGCACAUAGUAAAGUUAAGAGCGUUACUUUAUCCCUCCAUGACAGCCCACACUAAUGUAAAGGAACCACAGUGAAUACAGGGUAUCCAGGGACGCAAUCCCAAAACACAGUGUGACAGAA